rnacentral:rRNA from 1 species
AUUGAACGCUGGCGGCAGGCUUAACACAUGCAAGUCGAGCGGGGAAGGGUAGCUUGCUACCUGACCUAGCGGCGGACGGGUGAGUAAUGCUUAGGAAUCUGCCUAUUAGUGGGGGACAACAUUCCGAAAGGAAUGCUAAUACCGCAUACGCCCUACGGGGGAAAGCAGGGGAUCUUCGGACCUUGCGCUAAUAGAUGAGCCUAAGUCAGAUUAGCUAGUUGGUGGGGUAAAGGCCUACCAAGGCGACGAUCUGUAGCGGGUCUGAGAGGAUGAUCCGCCACACUGGGACUGAGACACGGCCCAGACUCCUACGGGAGGUAGCAGUGGGGAAUAUUGGACAAUGGGCGAAAGCCUGAUCCAGCCAUGCCGCGUGUGUGAAGAAGGCCUUUUGGUUGUAAAGCACUUUAAGCGAGGAGGAGGCUACUUGGAUUAAUACUCUAGGAUAGUGGACGUUACUCGCAGAAUAAGCACCGGCUAACUCUGUGCCAGCCGCCGCCGUAAGAC